rnacentral:rRNA from 1 species
UACCGCGGUUAAACGAGAGGCCCAAGUUGACAGACCCCGGCGUAAAGGGUGGUUAGGAUACAAAUGUACUAAAGCCGAAUAGCUCCAGGGCUGUUAUACGCGUCCGAAAGCUAGAAGUUUAACCACGAAAGUUGCUUUAUUAUACUGAACCCACGAAAGCCAAGGCA